UAACGCGAAGAACCUUACCAAAUCUUGACAUCCUUUGAAAACUCUAGAGAUAGAGCCUUCCCCUUCGGGGGACAAAGUGACAGGUGGUGCAUGGUUGUCGUCAGCUCGUGUCGUGAGAUGUUGGGUUAAGUCCCGCAACGAGCGCAACCCUUAAGCUUAGUUGCCAUCAUUAAGUUGGGCACUCUAGGUUGACUGCCGGUGACAAACCGGAGGAAGGUGGGGAUGACGUCAAAUCAUCAUGCCCCUUAUGAUUUGGGCUACACACGUGCUACAAUGGACAAUACAAAGGGCAGCUAAACCGCGAGGUCAUGCAAAUCCCAUAAAGUUGUUCUCAGUUCGGAUUGUAGUCUGCAACUCGACUACAUGAAGCUGGAAUCGCUAGUAAUCGUAGAUCAGAAGGUUAAUCCGGCG
rnacentral:rRNA from 1 species